AUCUUGGUUCCCAUAACGAUGAAGAACGCAGCGAAGUGCGAUAAGCAAUGCGAAUUGCAGAACCGUGAGUCAUCAGAUUUUUGAACGCAACUGGCGCCGGCUGGCUCUCCAGCCGGCAUGCUUGUUUCAGUGUCUCUUUACCUCAUCACCCAGAUCAUAAUGCGAGAGAUGCCCUUCUCUUGCCAAGCUCGAAAGCACUCUGCGCUCUGCGAGCGUUCACGAUUUCGGUCGGCGAACGCACUCAAUGCAGCGGUCACAUUGCUCACAAUGUGAACUCAUUGAGAGCUGAGGCAGUGCAGCGUAAGCUGCCAGUGCUUAGUCACACAAACUUUACUUGCAUCUGAAAUCAAGCAGGAUCACCCGCUGAACUUAAGCAUAUCAAUAAGCGGAGGAGAAGAAAUUAACUAAGAUUGCCCUAGUAGCGGCGAGCGAAGCGGCAGGAGCCCAAACUGGAAAUCUUGCGCACCACGUGCGUACGAAUUGUAAUCUGAAGGAUGUCCGCUCAACGGGAGGUGGCGCAGAAGUGCCUUCGAACGGGCCGCCAGAGAGGGUGCCAGCCCCGUAUGUGGUGCCACCGCCUAACGAGUGGGUGUUCAACGAGUCGGGUUGUUUUGUAUUGCAGCCCUAAGUGGGAGAUAGACUUCUUCUAAGGCUAAAUAUAUAUGGGAAACCGAUAGCGAACAAGUACUGUGAAGGAAAGAUGAAAAGAACUUUGAAAAGAGAGUCAAAAGACUUGAAAUCGUUGAGAAGGAAGCGGUAGAAAUUUAUUCUUCGGCGCAGGUCGGUGUUAGUUGCCUAACCAUUGCCGGUUGUCAGCACUGAAUAAGGCUGCGGCUGGUACCUGGGGAAGCGGCUGGCUUGACCUGCGUCGUGAGGCAAAAUGGGGUCGCGCAACCGCAGAGGCUCUCCACGACCGGUCUGGUUCGCCAGGCAGCGUGGGGUGUGCCGGCGGGGGUGCGGCCCGAGGGUGCUUCGUGCGAUUUUGCCAAAAUGGUUUUUACCGACCCGUCUUGAAACACGGACCAAGGAGUCUAACAUAUAUGCGAGUGUGCUGGUGGAGAAACCAACACGCGUAAUGAAGGUGAGCGAUGCCAAGCCGCAAGGUGGCAGCAUCGACCGACCAUGAUCCUCUGGUGAAAGGUUUGAGUACGAGCAUAUCUGUUAGGACCCGAAAGAUGGUGAACUAUGCCUGAGUAGGGUGAAGCCAGGGGAAACUCUGGUGGAGGCUCGUAGCGGUACUGACGUGCAAAUCGUUCGUCAAACUUGGGUAUAGGGGCGAAAGACUAAUCGAACCAUCUAGUAGCUGGUUCCCUC
rnacentral:misc_RNA from 1 species